rnacentral:rRNA from 1 species
GUGCAAACCGAGUGUGCCAUCUACGAGACCUCAGGUCAGGCGGGGCUAC